UGACCGAUGGUGUAAUGGUAACACAACGGUUUUUGGUACCGUUAUUCAUGGUUCGAAUCCAUGUCGGUUAACAA
rnacentral:tRNA from 1 species